AACAAACGCUGGCGGCGUGCCUAAUACAUGCAAGUCGAACGGGGAAAGCUUUCGGGUGAGUACUAGUGGCGCACGGGUGAGUAACGCGUGGAUAAUCUGCCUUAGAGUGGGGGAUAACUAGUCGAAAGAUUAGCUAAUACCGCAUAAGACCACAAGAACUGCGGUUCAAGGGGUCAAAGGUUUUUCGCUCUAAGAUGAGUCCGCGUAAGAUUAGCUAGUUGGUAGGGUAACGGCCUACCAAGGCGGCGAUCUUUAACUGGUCUGAGAGGAUGAGCAGUCACACUGGAACGGAUACACGCGACAGACUCCUACGGGAGGCAGCAGUAGGGAAUAUUGCACAAUGGAGGAAACUCUGAUGCAGCGACGCCGCGUGAGUGAUGAAGGCCUUAGGGUCGUAAAGCUCUGUCGCAGGGGAAUAACACAAUGAAGGUACCCUGUAAGAAAGGAUCGGCUAACUUCGUGCCAGCAGCCGCCGUAACAC
rnacentral:rRNA from 1 species